GAUUAGAACAAAUCAUGUUGUACAGUUUCUCGCAGUGAAAGACUCCGCAUGUGGCCGAAUUGAUAGGAACAAACGAACUUUUUUUUUCCUCUUCAUGAUAUUCCCAGGUGUUGUUCAAAAUCAACUCCGUGCAAAUAUCUAAAGUGAAAAGAACUCAAUAAUGGUUAAAAAAAUUUAAAUAUUUUGCCCAUAUUUAUGGAUGCGAUCAAAAGAAUUAGAACUACGAAAAUCAAAUACUGAACUAGAGUGAUUCGAAUAUGCUAAUAAAUUGUUACAAAUAAACAUUUCCAACCAUUAUGCCCAAUAUCUUCCACCAACACGAUGAGUUAAAUUCGCUACUGCCCUCUGGCUUAUGUUUGUAUGUAACAGACAGAAGGAUGCUGCUUCCAAAUUUCGGAUUUGAUUUAGGCGGAAAUGAUAAGUUGAACUUCUUACUUACUUAAUAACGAGCCAGCGGCUAAGCAACUCCCUGACAAGUUGAAGGAACAAAAUGCAAGGGAAACAUCACAACUUCGACUCGACUCGACUCAGAGCCAAAUGCGCAGCGAUUAUGCUUCAAGUUUAUAAUAAAGCCGACAAGGCGCAAUGCAAAACGCGGCAUACUUUCUUGGGCCAGGUUCAGGACCUGGCCUGCAUUGUCUGCCAAGCCUCUAGCCAUUUGUCAAAAUCGUGAUGACGACAAACCGCAAACUGGCCAUGGUGAUAUAUAAAUUUAAAUUUUUGGUUUUUAACUGUACUUUAAAUUCUAAUUUCAUGCAUUUUGCACAUCAAUAAAAAAGCCAUCCCAGAGUUGACUUAUACUUCUGGGCAAUAGUCUUCCGGACAUGAUUUGAUUUUAUGACCCUGCCAGUUUCCACGUGCAAAACGUGAGGAAAUUUUAGAGGCUUUUUCCUUUUUUCUAGGAGGGAUAUAAUCGUAAUGCGGAUAGUGGAGAGCUAAGGCUUUUGAUAGAUUGUGGAUGAUAAGCUUUACGGUGCCGCAGUGAGAUGAAGAAUUUCAUUAUACCCUGCAACGAUACAAUGGAAAAGGCAUAUAAGAAUCCCCGAAAUAAAUAAAUCUCUGGAAUUUAAGACCUAAAAGCACCUAACAAAAUUUUGAACUAGAG